rnacentral:rRNA from 1 species
AUCAACUUUCGAUGGUAGGAUAGAGGCCUACCAUGGUGGUAACGGGUAACGGGGUGUUAGGGCACGACACCGGAGAGGGAGCCUGAGAAACGGCUACCACAUCCAAGGAUGGCAGCAGGCGCGCAAAUUACCCAAUCCCGACACGGGGAGGUAGUGACAAUAAAUAACAAUACGGGGUUCUUUCGGAUUUCGUAAUUGGAAUGAGUACAAUUUAAAUCUCUUAACGAGGAACAAUUGGAGGGCAAGUCUGGUGCCAGCAGCCGCGGUAAUUCCAGCUCCAAUAGCGUAUAUUAAAGUUGUUGCAGUUAAAAAGCUCGUAGUUGAAUUUCGGGAUCAUCAGGUUGGUCGUGCCUUCGGUAUGUACUUGCUUCGGUGGUCCCUCCUUCUUGAAGAACCGUAAUGGCAUUAAUUUGUUGUUGCGGGGAAACAGGACUGUUACUUUGAAAAAAUUAGAGUGUUUAAAGCAGGCAAUCGCUUGAAUACAUUAGCAUGGAAUAAUGAAAUAGGACGUUCGAUCCUAUUUUGUUGGUUUCUAGGAUUGACGUAAUGAUUAAUAGGGAUAGUUGGGGGCAUUAGUAUUCAAUUGUCAGAGGUGAAAUUCUUGGAUUUAUUGAAGACUAACUACUGCGAAAGCAUUUGCCAAGGAUGUUUUCAUUAAUCAAGAACGAAAGUUAGGGGAUCGAAGACGAUCAGAUACCGUCGUAGUCUUAACCAUAAACUAUGCCGACUAGGGAUCGGAUGAUGUUAAUUUUUUAAUGACUCAUUCGGCGCCUUACGGGAAACCAAAGUGUUUGGGUUC